UGGACCCUACGGGGGGCAGCAGUGGGGAAUAUUGCGCAAUGGGGGCAACCCUGACGCAGCAACGCCGCGUGCAGGAAGAAGGUCUUCGGAUUGUAAUCUGUUGUCGCAGGGGAAGAAGACAGUGACGGUACCCUGUGAGAAAGUCACGGCUAACUACGUGCCAGCAGCCGCGGUAAUACGUAGGUGACAAGCGUUAUCCGGAUUUACUGGGUGUAAAGGGAGCGUAGACGGUUCUGCAAGUCUGAAGUGAAAGCCCGUGGCUUAACCGCGGAACGGCUUUGGAAACUGUGGAACUGGAGUGCUGG
rnacentral:rRNA from 1 species